UAUUAACGCUGGCGGCGUGCCUAAUACAUGCAAGUCGAGCGAACGGACGAGAAGCUUGCUUCUCUGAUGUUAGCGGCGGACGGGUGAGUAACACGUGGAUAACCUACCUAUAAGACUGGGAUAACUUCGGGAAACCGGAGCUAAUACCGGAUGAUAUUUUGAACCGCAUGGUUCAAAAGUGAAAGACGGUCUUGCUGUCACUUAUAGAUGGAUCCGCGCUGCAUUAGCUAGUUGGUAUGGUAACGGCUUACCAAGGCAACGAUGCAUAGCCGACCUGAGAGGGUGAUCGGCCACACUGGAACUGAGACACGGUCCAGACUCCUACGGGAGGCAGCAGUAGGGAAUCUUCCGCAAUGGGCGAAAGCCUGACGGAGCAACGCCGCGUGAGUGAUGAAGGUCUUCGGAUCGUAAAACUCUGUUAUUAGGGAAGAACAUAUGUGUAAGUAACUGUGCACAUCUUGACGGUACCUAAUCAGAAAGCCACGGCUAACUACGUG
rnacentral:rRNA from 1 species